rnacentral:lncRNA from 1 species
CACAGCCAGUCCACCCCUGCCAGUCCAGCCCCACUGAACUGUAAACAAGCAAAUAUAAUUGCUGAGACAGGAGCAGGGAGAUGCUCAAAUAUCACAGUCUGAGGUGGGAUGAGCAACCUGGAGAAACCCUUUGCUUCACUGGGGGACCUCCUGCACCUACACUGCCUGACUCCUAUCCACCUCCCCCAGUUCUGCCUCCAUUGCAUCUCAGAUGUGGGAAUGGGCUGUGCUCUGGAAGCAUAUUUCCUUCUGUGACAGUCAGGGACCUCAGAACACAUGCCAGUUGUCCCUCACGCUUCUCUGAUCUGACCUUGAAGAGCAGGCAGAUAACCGUGGCACAUUGCUUCUGUGAAUACACAGGCCAGGUGCAAUGGUUUUUGCCUUGCUGGUCAUAGGCCGCUAGAGCCCAGUGAAGACAAAUGGGGGGACAUUUUAAAAUGUGGGAUUCUUCCUCUCCACCAGCUGAC